CCAUUUUGUUGGUCACAUGUUAAUGUGAGUCUCUUGAGACAUUUUUAUUUUCACAGUUAAUAUUGUUCAAUUAUUAUUUCCGUUUCUAUUCAAUUCUCAUCUCAUUGAUUAUCUCAUCUUAUAACAAUCAACUUGUCAACAAUUUGUUAAAGUCUACAUUUUAAGUGUUGAUAAUUUGUUGAAUCCUUUUUUUGUGGUUAUGUGUUUAAGCUUGUGUUUUGUUUAGUGUUUAGCAAAACCCUCCAAAUCUUCAAAAAUCAAUUUUAAUCAUAUUCAAGUUUCAUGAGCUUGUAUUUUACAUGGUUUUUUUAUGCUUUUUACGUUUUACAAAAAAAACAAAGCUGUUAGUCAUGAGUUAACUUAAUUGACUUGUAAUAAAGGUUAAUCACGCAUUGAUUAUGAAUGAAUUUACUCUCAACGUAAAUAAUACAAAGUUAGACCUACAACACAGUCAAGUGUUUGUUUUUGUUAUAUUGCUGUUUUUUUCAACGGUACUUUCAUUGGAUGUACCAAUAUUGUGAAUAAUGUUUUCGCAGUAUGUUAUUCAAUAAAGAGUGUUAUCAAGUAAUUUUUCAAUUUAAAUUGCUGGUCAAAAGGAGAAAAAAACUUAUCGUUGUUUCACUUACCCCGUAAGCUGAUUAUUUGCUGAGUUAAAAGAGUCAAUGGGACACAACGUUUCCACCAAUUCAUCUAACUUUUAAGCUAAAUCAUUUUUAAGCUCACCUUGAUUGGGAUAUAAUCAUCCUCCACUGAAAAGCAUCACCCAGUGAAACAAGAGAUUUACUUGUCUAAUCAAUCAAAUUACAACUAAAUGCGUACGAUACAUGGUUUUACAUAUGAUUAGAAAGAACACCUUACACUAUGGAGAUUACGCCACCGCAUGAAUCUUUCGUUUGACUUUUUAUAUUAAUCAAUCAACGAAAAAUCUUCGCUGUUGGUUUUAUAUAAUGAUGAUGAAGUCGAGCCUGAUUGACCACAGCCCUUAAAAGACCACGGAAGAGACGAAGUAGAUAAAGAGGGACAAUUUUAAAGAUUCACUAUGAGCUACCAAAAAGACUCAGAAGCAUCUUAUCUGAACUAAUCUGACUUUUUGUUCGGUGAUUGAUGAAAGUUAAAUUUGGAGGAAUCCCGUUGAUAAAAGGAGCGACAUUCAGUAUGGUUUGUUGUGGUUUGCUCUCAACUUGUUAAAACCAUGAUUAUCAGACUUGUUACAAGCAAGAAAACACAAGAAAAAUGAGCAAUUAAAGAGUAAUGCAAAAAACAAGGUAAAAUGCCAAGGAAAGAUAACAACUCAUGUUAAUCAAGAGUCAUUUUGUAUUCACUGUGAUCAAUUAAAUUUGACACCAAGAAAAUAACCAGUACAGAACCUUAAUAUAAGGAGUGGUUCGUCUCAAUGAUUCAAGCUUCACCCUAAGAAAUGGAUUCAGGAGGGAAUCAUGGCGAUUAAGUGGAAAGACAAUAAUUAUUCCAGAAUUUGAUGAAGAUAAGUUACAUGGGAAGAGACGUAGCAGAUAAUAGUGAAAAAGAAGGUGGAAAGAUUGAAGAAAAAGUCUCGAGUUAAAUACUGUGAGGGCGAACAAGAUGAAAACAAAAGUAUUUGCUAAUAAUGGUGGAAAAUGCAAAGUUACAAAAAUAAUGGUGAAGGAGAGAAGAACCAGAAUUUUUGAUAAUGAUGAUAAUGAUAAUUAUGCUGAUGAAGAUGAUCCAUCUUUCUCAACAUCCUUCUCACUGAAUUGCAACCAUCAUGUGAGCAACUCCCUUAUCAUGAGCUUCUUGCUUAUUUCAUCAGCAUUAUUUACUCCCCCGCCUCUACAUGUUCAGUAGAUGAUAAUGAUGAUGAUAAUAAUAACCAUCUUAAAAUCGACCUUGGCUUACCGGUCACUUGCCUGAGCUUUCAUCUUUCCAUUUUUUGCUUCUUCAUCAUCCUUCUUGACCAUCAUCUUCAGAAGCCUCACAUUGGUUACUCGUCUAAUAAAAUAAUAUUACAAACCACCCUACAGGGAGGGUGUGUUCAAAUUCAGAAGAAGAUGAGAUCAUUAUUUUCAAUUCUGAUCAUCUCUUCGCCUCGACACCAACCGUGAUGAACUAACCAACAGGUUAACAACAACAGCAACAACGCAACAUCAAAAACAACAGCAACCAAAACUUUUCAUUUUAAUUCCCACCGAGGCUUAAAUUAUGACAGGAAACAGUGAACUGAUAUAUUAAGUAGUCCUGAUAAUAUUUUAACUGAUUACACUGAACCUUAAGGAUACAGCACCAAAACCUUAACCAUUUAUAAAUAUUAUGUGAGCAUUAUAACAUACAAAUGGUUAAACGAGUAUCAAUCAGCUUCUGCUUCCUCAUCACCAUCAUCAUCAUCAUCAUCUUUUUUUUAAGUAUUUUUAAGCUUUAGAAUUUCAUUUUUUUCUUCUAUUUCUUUGUUACUUUGCAUUAUCUCUUCAGAUGUAUGAUGAUAUGAAAUAUCUUCCAGAGUAACCCUGGGGGUAACAAAAUGUAUUUAAGGAAAUCCGGCUCAACUUUCAAGCCCAACCUGUGAACAUUAACAAAGCAACAUUAAUACAACUAUUUGAUUCAAUGCCAUCUACACUUGAAAAUUAUUAAACCACAGAUAAUUUGAUUAAUCAUAAAGAAUGAAAAGCUAAAUUCAGACAAAUAAAGAUACGCAAAGAAAACUGAAACGUUUAACCCUUUAUGGAAACGUUUACCAGACAAGAUUUUUACUGCAUUUACUUAAAUUAUCUGUGGGCACCCAUCCAGUCAAUUUGAUACAAUCAACUUGAUAUAAUAAAAAAAAUCAAUAAAAGUAUGAAACAAUCACUUAACAUGA